rnacentral:rRNA from 1 species
AUGGCAAAAAUUGUACCUUUUUCACAUGGAAAAAUUACCUACAUUGCCACUGCAAUCUUUAACUUUUGCAUACAUGUCAAUAUAAUCGCUAGUGGCAAUUUUUUUCAUGCCAAAUUAACUUUUAUGGGACGAUGCCAAUUUACUCUAAUUUCCUUGCAUUUUUUUGCUUUACAUAUGAUGCAUGGAUUUUUUUUCAUCAUUCAUGGAACCACGGUAAAUUACUUUUUAAGAAACAUGGCAACUUCUCCCCAAACAAUAUAUGGUACACUUUUUGUGUGUGUUUUACAUUUUUUUGCCACUACGUAA